UGGUGAUUAUAACUGUUUUAUUAGGUAAU
rnacentral:piRNA from 1 species